rnacentral:rRNA from 1 species
UACGUAGGGUGCAAGCGUUGUCCGGAAUUAUUGGGCGUAAAGAGCUCGUAGGCGGUCUGUCGCGUCGGCUGUGAAAUCCCGGAGCUCAACUCCGGGUCUGCAGUCGAUACGGGCAAACUGGAGUACUGCAGGGGAGACUGGAAUUCCUGGUGUAGCGGUGGAAUGCGCAGAUAUCAGGAGGAACACCAAUGGCGAAGGCAGAUCUCUGGGCCGUAACUGACGCUGAGGAGCGAAAGCAUGGGGAGCGAACAGG